rnacentral:rRNA from 1 species
UUCCGGUUGAUCCUGCCGGAGGCUACCGCUAUUGGAGUUCGAUUAAGCCAUGCGAGUCGCGAGAAAUUAGAUUCUCGGCGUACCGCUCAGUAACACGUGGGUAACCUGCCCUAUGCUGGAUAAUAACCUCGGGAAACUGAGAAUAAUGAUCCAUAGUUCACUACGCCUGGAACGGUGAGUGGAUGAAAGCCCCGGCGGCAUAGGAUGGGCCUGCGGCGUAUCAGGUUGUAGGGGGUGUAACGUACCCUCUAGCCCUCUACGCGUACGGGUGUUGGGAGACAUAGCCCGGAGAUGGAUUCUGAGACACGAAUCCAGACCCUACGGGGUGCAGCAGGCGCGAAAACUUGGCAAUGCGAGAAAUCGUGACCAGGGAACUCCAAGUGCAUCGGGUAAGACCGAUGCUUUUCUUGACUCUAAAUAGGUCUUGGAAUAAGGGGUGGGUAAGGACGGUGCCAGCCGCCGCGGUAAUACCGGCGCCUCAAGUGGUAGUCGCUUUUAUUGGGCCUAAAACGUCCGUAGCCUGUUUGGUAAAUCUGUGGGUAAAUCAACCAGCUUAACUGGUUGAAUUCUGCAGAGACUGCCAGACUAGGGACCGGGAGAGGUGUGGGGUACUCUAGGGGUAGGGGUAAAAUCCUGUCAUCCUUAGAGGACCACCAGUUGCGAAGGCGCCACACUAGAACGGAUCCGACGGUCAGGGACGAAGCCUAGGGGCACGAACCGGAUUAGAUACCCGGGUAGUCCUAGGUGUAAACGCUGUGAACUUGGUGUCGGGAGUCCGCAAUGGGCCCCCGGUGCCGGAGUGAAGAUGUUAAGUUCACUGCCUGGGGAGUACGGUCGCAAGGCUGAAACUUAAAGGAAUUGGCGGGGGAGCACUGCAACGGGAGGAGCGUGCGGUUUAAUUGGAUCAACGCCGGA